rnacentral:tRNA from 1 species
CAAGGCGCUGAAAAUGCCUGGAUGGGCACCUAGCCCCAUAAACA